UUCAGGCACACAGGCCCCCAGUGGCACGCGGGGUAGGGGAUGUUCCCGCACACGGGCCUCAAGUACCUCUCUGCCACAGGGCCUGGCCCCAGCAGUGUACCCUCCAACUGGCCACAUGCAACGCUUGCCCGCAGAGAUGCAGAGUGACGGGGAGGUGACAUGUAUUAAAUUUUGGCCCACACCAAAUUGAAUUGAAGAUUCAAUGGUAAACAGACAUUCAGUGCCCAUGGCUGCCACUAUCCACAGAGUACCUCUGUGGGAACUGGAGAAAAAUGCGCCCCCUGUUGGUUGCGGAUUGUGGAAUUAAGAAGGGCUGGAUUUCAGGCUCCACUGGCUGGCCUCAAACAUGAUUCUGGGCAAGAAACCUGCAUGAUCCUAUUUGGGUACUCUUCAGUUCUGCUUACAGCCUAACAGGCAAAAAGAAAUUCUCUGAUUCCAAGAAAAAAUUACUGAGUGAGAUUAUUUUACAAUUUGAUUUCCAACACUGCUCCUUUUUAAACUACCAUAUUUUGUGCUUGAAACAUGCUUCAAGAAUAUAAAACUCUCUUCAGAGAGCAUUUGCUGAGGGGCACAUUGGCUGUCAGGGGAACUGGGAACCCCUUGGUUUCUGCUGGCUGAAACCUUCCUCUGAGCUCUCCGCUGACGGGCUGCCUACGUCUCAACUGACGACUCUUACUCUCUCCAAAGCAUCAGCAUCCCAUUGCCAGGAGUCUCUUCCAGAAAGGCGUAAAAAUCUCUGUGGCAUUUUUGUCUUCUUUUAAUAUCUUUGGAAGAAAAGUUAAGAAAUGCAAAGUAUGAGCAUUGCAA